UACGUAGGGUGCAAGCGUUGUCCGGAAUUAUUGGGCGUAAAGAGCUCGUAGGCGGUUUGGUAAGUCGGGUGUGAAAUCUCCACGCUCAACGUGGGAGGGGCCACUCGAUACUGCCAUGACUCGAGUCCGGUAGAGGAGUGUGGAAUUCCCGGUGUAGCGGUGAAAUGCGCAGAUAUCGGGAGGAACACCCGUAGCGAAGGCGGCACUCUGGGCCGGAACUGACGCUGAGGAGCGAAAGCGUGGGGAGCAAACAGG
rnacentral:rRNA from 1 species